rnacentral:rRNA from 1 species
CCUACGGGUGGCAGCAGUGAGGAAUAUUGGUUAAUGGGCGCGAGCCUGAACCAGCCAAGUAGCGUGAAGGAUGACUGCCCUACGGGUUGUAAACUUCUUUUAUAAAGGAAUAAAGUGAGGCACGUGUCCCUUUUUGUAUAUACUUUAUGAAGAACGAUCGGCUAACUCCGUGCCAGCAUCCCCGGUAAUACGGAGGAUCCGAGCGUUAUCCGGAUUUAUUGGGUUUAAAGGGAGCGUAGGUGGGUUGUUAAGUCAGUUGUGAAAGUUUGCGGCUCAACCGUAAAAUUGCAAUUGAUACUGGCAGUCUUGAGUACAGUUGAGGUAGGCGGAAUUCGUGGUGUAGCGGUGAAAUGCUUAGAUAUCACGAAGAACCCCGAUUGCGAAGGCAGCUUACUAAACUGCCACUGACAUUGAGGCUCGAAAGUGUGGGGAUCAAACAGGAUUAGAUACCCUUGUAGUC